UUUUCAGGUUCACAGGAAGGGGGUUUUCAGAAUCACAAGAAGCGUUUUUCAGAAUCACAAGAAGCGUUUUUCAGAAUCACAAGAAGCGUUUUUGUACGUUUUCAGCGUUGUUGUACGUUUUCAGCGUUGUUGUACGUUUUCAGCGUUGUUGUACGUCUGGCCAUUUUUUUUAAGAUGCAUAGGCAAGCAGCAAGAUGCAUUUGUCAGGUUUGCAUUGGUAGAUUGCAUUGGGGUGCGUUGGGGGUGCAGGCAAGCAAGCAGCAAGCAGAGCAGCAGCAUUUUGGGGGGGGCAUGGCCAGUUAUUUUAUUAGUUGAUGAAGUGAAAGUACAGAAUGGAACAGCGGUGAAGAUUUAAGCAAAGUAAAGGUUUGAAAUUUAAUUUAAAGGUAUUGAAAGGACAAGACAAGAACAUACAACAAACA